GUCUUUCACUCAGUCUUUCAUGAGUCUCCACAUAGCCCCACACGUGCAGGUGGCCUUCCAGAUUCCGUGGAAUAUGUCAGAGGUUUUCAUGACCCAGUAUGGAUGUCUCAUUCCCCAGUUUCCCUUUUUAGGUUUUCUGACCUGCUUCUCAUUUGCCCCAGCUGGCUCUGAUAGUCAGCACUUGUCCCUGACUACUGCCUGCAAAUGCUCUGUGGGUAAAAGCCCUUUCCAAUGAGUCAGGACAAAUAAAGGCAAGGCCUGUGAAAGGGGCUUGCCCAUUAGUGAGUCUCCAGGGAACUGACCAACAGAUCAGAUCAUGACAGGGUUCUAGGACCAGGGAUCUUGGACAACUGUCAGUUUGCACAGUGCUGUGGUUCAAAUGUCCCCUCCAAGACUCAUGUUGAAACUUAACUGUCCCUUAUUACGGUAUUAGGAGGCGGGACCUUUAAGAUAUGAUUAAACCUUGUGGGCUCCACCUUCACAGAUGGACUAACGCCAUUGUUACAGGAGUGGGUUAGUUGUUCUGGGAGUGGCUUUAUUAUAAAAGAGCUCCCGCUCGCUCGCUCGCUUGCUCGCUCUCUCUCCUCUCUCACCAUGGUGUGCUGCCCUCUACCAUGCUGUAACAUGAGACACCAGAUACCAAGAAGGCCCUCACCAGAUGCCAGAUACUGGACCUGCCAGCCCCCAAGAAUGGUUGCUCAAGAACAUCAAACAUGACGGACCGAGAGCUGAUGCAGUAUGCCUACGUCUUUGGCUCCCAGCCUCUUUUGACCCUUUUGUUUUCCUUGUGUAUAAAAUAAUAUUCCUGUGGGGUCGUGUCUAUUGUUUCUAGCACAAAUGCCAAGAACCACUCGUGCAAACUAAGUUGAUUUCAAUGUCAAAGGGAUAGUGUUUUCUUUUUUUUUAAUAUAAUGAUCAAGAGUGCUGCAUCCAAGCCAGCCGCGACCCUGUGCCAGAAGUCAAGGACUUCAAAGCAGCUUCCUUCUAGGGCUCUGAAGGAACUGAAAUGUCUAUUUCUCCUUAUCAUCCAACUUAAUUGUGGGCCAUAAGUGACUGCUGGCAGGGAGCUCACAUCACAUGGUUCCAGUUCUGCUUCGGCAAAGGUCAGCAGAGGCACGAACACUGGCCUGCAUUAUGCGGCCUGUACCCUGCUCCCACGACACGUGCUUCGGGACACAUGUUGCAAUGUCGCACCACUGAUUAAUAGCCGCUUGCACAAGAAGUUUUUCAUUACCCUGACUGCAGGCAUCCUGGAAACGAUUAACUGUGUGACAUAACUCUCGUCCCACAAGCAUGGGAGACUCAGAGCAGGCUCCAGAGUCCCUGCUUCAGAAAUAACUGAACGGAUUUUGGCUCCUUGAUGUGAACAUGAUUAACAACUGUUUUAAAGCUACUGAGCAAAACAGAGAAACCUAUUUAGGAUUUUUUUUUUUUUUUAAACGAGUGGGAGUUUGAUAGGAGAUUGGUUCCUGUGUGAACACUCUUCUACCCUAUUUUAAUUUUGCCUUAUGUGUUUUCCAGUUUUGCUGUUGAAAAAUGUCAGAUUUAUUGAACCGUGCUCCAUCUGAUGAGCUAACGACUGAAUUUAUAGUUGAUUUGGUUAAACAUUUUCGGAGCCACAAAUAUACGACUCUCGUAUUCUCACACACUGUAUGAAGUUACAGUCUGACUGUUACGGAGUCCACGUCCCUACAAAGGUAAACUAAAAUUCUACAGACUUUCCGACCUUAUCCCUGGAGAACAGUCUGAAAGCCGGGGGCGCUGGGACUCUUCAUCAUGAGUGCGGUUGGCACCCAGGGGCCGCGCCUUGAGGCUGCAGGCUGCUGUCUGACUCCCAGCAUGUGUGGUCUCUGCUGUGUGCCUUUGUCCCCUGGGCCUGUGUCUGAGGGAAGCACCCAGCCACAUAGCUGAGUUCCAGGCAGGAAGGGGGCUCCCUUCCCUGGGUCCCAACUCACAGGAGAGGCCUGUGAGGGCGCUAGCUGAGAUCCUUGGCACUCACUGUGGCCAGAGGGGUGGGCAGCUGAGCUUGGAGGAGGAGAGGCCUUCUGCAAGAGAAAGAGGCAGGGGAUUGCCAUCCAUGCCCGGGACACAGUGCAUCUCUUAUGCAGCCAGGCCCCACUUGCUGCUGUGGCUUGGAUGUGGUUCCCCUACAAAGGUUCAUGUGCUGGAAGCUUGGUCCCCAGUGUGGCAGCAUCAGGAUGGUGGGACCUGGUGGCAGGUGGUUUGGUCACUGAAGACCCCGCCCUCCUCAGGGACUGUGUGGUGCUCUGAUCAGUUACCACAAGAGGGCGCUGUUGCAGAACGAGCAAGUCCAGCCCUGGGUGGCUGUGGGCACGGGUUUCUCCCCUGCUCAGUGGGGAUUCUCCAGGCAUGGCCAAGCCACCCGCCCCGAGGGCCUCAUGGGAGGAAGCUGAACAGAGGGACCACGGGAUCUUGGACUUUCAGCCCCCAAUACCGUGCACUAAAUAAACUGCUUUUCUUUAUGAAGUA